rnacentral:rRNA from 1 species
CCUACGGGUGGCAGCAGUGGGGAAUAUUGGACAAUGGGGGGAACCCUGAUCCAGCCAUGCCGCGUGUGUGAAGAAGGCCCUCGGGUUGUAAAGCACUUUCAGUGAGGAAGAACGCCUGGUGGUUAAUACCCAUCAGGAAAGACAUCACUCACAGAAGAAGCACCGGCUAACUCCGUGCCAGCAGCCGCGGUAAUACGGAGGGUGCGAGCGUUAAUCGGAAUUACUGGGCGUAAAGCGCGCGUAGGUGGCUUGAUAAGCCGGUUGUGAAAGCCCCGGGCUCAACCUGGGAACGGCAUCCGGAACUGUCAAGCUAGAGUGCAGGAGAGGAAGGUAGAAUUCCCGGUGUAGCGGUGAAAUGCGUAGAGACCGGGAGGAAUACCAGUGGCGAAGGCGGCCUUCUGGACUGACACUGACACUGAGGUGCGAAAGCGUGGGUAGCAAACAGGAUUAGAUACCCCUGUAGUC